CGUAGGCGCGAGCGUUGUCCGGAAUUAUUGGCGUAAGGGCUCGUAGGCGGCUUGUCGCGUCUGCUGUGAAAUGCGGGCUUAACUCCGUACGUGCAGUGGUACGGCAGGCUAGAGUGCGGUAGGUGACUGGAAUUCCUGGUGUAGCGGUGGAAUGCGCAGAUAUCAGGAGGAACACCGAUGGCGAAGGCAGGUCACUGGGCUGUACUGACGCUGAGGAGCGAAAGCGUGGGAGCGAACAGGAUU
rnacentral:rRNA from 1 species